UACGUAGGGGGCAAGCGUUGUCCGGAUUUAUUGGGCGUAAAGAGCGUGUAGGCGGCCUGACAGGUCUGCUGUGAAAACUCGAGGCUCAACCUCGAGAUGUCGGCGGAAACCCCCUGGCUAGAGUCCGGAAGAGGAGAAUGGAAUUCCUGGUGUAGCGGUGAAAUGCGCAGAUAUCAGGAAGAACACCCGUGGCUAAGGCGGUUCUCUAGUACGGUACUGACGCUGAGACGCGAAAGCGUGGGGAGCGAACAGG
rnacentral:rRNA from 1 species